UAGAACUAAAAUAUCUAUCACACGUUUCCAGCUCAUUCUCACGUGACAGUGACGUCAUGUUGACGGGGCUGAGUUGGCACCAAGUUAAGACCUAAAUUCAAUGAUAUUCUAGGAAUCAUUUGCAUUUCAAUUGAAAAAACCCACUCCAGUUCCAGGAAUUUGAAGAGAGAUUGCACUUACAUAUUUGAACAUUUGGGAUAUAGUUUAUCACACUGCGGUACAGGAGUCGACAGGUCUAAACCAGUAUUUUCACAGAAAUGGCCACUGAACCGUAUGAAAGGCUAAAUGUUCAAAUUGAUGAUGACUCCGCGGGAUGCUGCUCCAGCACCAAGUACUAUGUUUUACGGUACCCCAUGAAUGGCAAAGGAUAAUCCAUCAUGGAACAUAGUUCCAUUUAACAGUGAGGGACAUGAUCGAAUUCAAAGCCACCGGCCAUGGGAAGACCUAUUGUUACAGGUCACAGCCCUUUCCCUGUGCUAUCGGCAAAAGAUGGAAAGAACAAAA